UACAGAGGUCUCCAAGCGUUGUUCGGAUUCAUUGGGCGUAAAGGGUGCGUAGGCGGCGCGGAAGUCGGGUGUGAAAUCUUGGAGCUUAACUCCGUAAACUGCAUUCGAUACUGCCGUGCUUGAGGACUGGAGAGGAGACUGGAAUUUACGGUGUACGGUGAAUGCGUAGAUAAUCGUAAGGAAGACCAGUGGCUGAAGGAGCGGGUCUCUGGAGCAGUUCCUGACGC
rnacentral:rRNA from 1 species